CUUCUUGCUAAUCUGUCUGCCUUUUUAUUGCCAGCAAUUCCGCAGUGUCCCGGAAUCCAGCAAAGUCUGAUGUCGUAAUUCAUACUGUUUCCUCCCUAUUUAGCACACUGAAUUUUUGUCUUCCGCUGCUGAGAGAUACCAGAUUGCAUCCGAGGAGAGCACGUCGCUGUACACGCCUCUUCACAGCCCUCCUCUUCUCGCCCCUGCAUUCUGCACAGGCUUCUCUUCCGCCAAUCAGGGUCCUUACACAGCGUAUGGAGACCCACCCACCCACACAUAGUACGGCCCCCACCCUGCAGAUACGGUGGCCAAUUAGUAUCUGCUGCAGGCACUGCCAAUUAUGCCUGCCAGAUGGUGCCCAGCCGAACAGUGGCGACACUGAGUUCAGAAACUCGGUGCUGGUGUGCUAAUGGGAUCUCCCACUGCACCACCUGGGCGACAACAACCUCAUUUUUGACUUCUGAGGUAAAGGUAAGGUCGAGUUUAAGUGUACAAAUCUCUUAGAGAAGGGGGUUGAGUUACAAGGUACCACUAUACUUUAAUCCCAGCAGGCAAAUGUAAGUCCUAUAGAUUUACCGUUCUUCCUUUAAUUGUAAUGUAAUUGCAGCUAGUUACAUUAUGAGUUCAGUUCACUACUAACUAAUAGUAUUUAAAAAAUGUAGGUACCACUGGUCUAAACCAACCCAUAUUUUUUUUUUCACAGGUCGCUACUUAAACGUAACUGAUAAGUGCCUACAUUAUGACUAGCAACCAACUAUCAAGUUCUAUGUAUUUUCUCCAUUUUUGUAUUGUCUCAAUUUCAAUUCACUUAUUUACCCUAUCACACGGCUUCACUGACGUGUGUAAGGCUCCCAGCUGAAUCCUUACACGAGUGGCGGCAGCCAACUAUGUUAAACUUGCUUGUUUAUCUGUACAGCAAUUUUUAAAAUCUUCUCAUAGAUGCUUGACAAGAUUAGGAUCACGCCUCUGACGGGGUGACUCUUGGACAUCACCUCGCCUGGUUGACGGCACUUCACAAAGUUGCCAGAGUUGAAGACAUGUGGCGUGUCUGAACUUGCCUGCGUUGUAGAAAGUAUCCAGCGUGUCUGCAGUAGCGUGUGCAAUCCGCUCAAACGGGACAGUUUGGAGCUCGGCGUGGGAGUCCGCACAG